rnacentral:rRNA from 1 species
AUUGAACGCUGGCGGCAGGCCUAACACAUGCAAGUCGAACGAGUGGCGGACGGGUGAGUAAUGUCUGGGACACUGCACGAUGGAGGGGGAUAACUACUGGAAACGGUAUCUAAUACCGCAUACCAUCGGAUGUGCCCAGAUGGGAUUAGCUAGUAGGUGGGGUAAAGGCUCACCUAGGCGAAGAUCCCUAGCUGGUCUGAGAGGAUGACCAGGCAAACUGGAACUGAGACACGGUCCCAGCGCCUACGGUAGGCAGCAGUGGGGAAUAUUGCACAAUGGGUGCAAGCCUGAUGCAGCCAUGCCGCGUGUAUGAAGAAGGCCUUCGGGUUGUAAAGUACUUUCGGCGGGGAGGCGUUACCUGUAGAAGAAGCCCCGGCUAACUCCGUGCCAGCAGCCGCGGUAAUUC